CCUCGCCAGGUCCGGAAAUCUCGCCCUGGACGGAUCAAAAUGUCCAAUGUGGCUGUCCCAGCCCCUCUGAAGAUCCGCAGAUCUCCCCCUGGCUGGAUCAAAGCGUCCCCUCGGCUUUGCCCCAGCCCCUCUCAAGGUCCACAGAUCUCCUCGGGGCGGAUCAAAAUGUCCAGUGUGGCUUUGCCCCAGCCCCUCUCAAGGUCCAUAGAUCGACAGAGAUCGAAGGAGAAGAAAUCAGCAGCGGUGAGUGGCGUUUUCCCUCCAGAUCAGUCCAAAGAGGAGGGGGGGGAGAGAAGAAAAAAAAUCUAAAAAAAAAAAAAAAAAUCUGGAAGG